GUUUCCGUGGCCUAGCGGUUAUGGCGUCUGCUUUACAUCUGAGGUACGCAGAAGAUCGCCGGUUCAAUCCCGGCCGGGAACA